GACGAACGCUGGCGGCGUGCUUAACACAUGCAGGUCGAACGGAAGGGCCCUGCUUUUGUGGGGUGCUCGAGUGGCGAACGGGUGAGUAACACGUGAGUAACCUGCCCUUGACUUUGGGAUAACUUCAGGAAACUGGGGCUAAUACCGGAUAGGAGCUCCUGCUGCAUGGUGGGGGUUGGAAAGUUUCGGCGGUUGGGGAUGGACUCGCGGCUUAUCAGCUUGUUGGUGGGGUAGUGGCUUACCAAGGCUUUGACGGGUAGCCGGCCUGAGAGGGUGACCGGCCACAUUGGGACUGAGAUACGGCCCAGACUCCUACGGGAGGCAGCAGUGGGGAAUAUUGCACAAUGGGCGGAAGCCUGAUGCAGCAACGCCGCGUGCGGGAUGACGGCCUUCGGGUUGUAAACCGCUUUCGCCUGUGACGAAGCGUGAGUGACGGUAAUGGGUAAAGAAGCACCGGCUAACUACGUG
rnacentral:rRNA from 1 species